rnacentral:rRNA from 1 species
GAUGAACGCUGGCGGCAUGCCUAAUACAUGCAAGUCGGACGAGGAUGUUUCUACAUCCUAGUGGCGAACGGGUGAGUAACACGUAGGGAACCUGCCCCUAAGACGAGGAUAACUACUGGAAACGGUAGCUAAUACUGGAUAGGAUAAGUUGACGCAUGUUGGCUUAUUUAAAGGUGCCUAUAAAGCACCGCUUAGGGAUGGCCCUGCGGCGCAUUAGCUAGUUGGUGGGGUAACGGCCUACCAAGGCGACGAUGCGUAGCUGUGCUGAGAGGCAGAACAGCCACACUGGGACUGAGACACGGCCCAGACUCCUACGGGAGGCAGCAGUAGGGAAUAUUGGACAAUGGGCGAAAGCCUGAUCCAGCAACGCCGCGUGCGCGAUGAAGGCCUUCGGGUUGUAAGCGCUUUUAGGGGAGAUGAGAAAGGACAGUAUCCUCUGAAUAAGCCUCGGCGAACUACGUGC